rnacentral:sRNA from 1 species
GCUGGGUGCGGUGCUGCAGGCCUGUAAUCCCAGCGGCUCAGGAGGCUGAGGCAGGAGGAUCGAGAGUUCAAGACCAGCCUCAGCAACUUAUUGAGGCCCUAAGCAACUUACUGAGACCCUUUCUCAA